AACGAACGCUGGCGGCGUGUUUAAGACAUGCAAGUCGCACGGUGUCAUUUUGGUAGCAAUACUUGGAUGGCACAGUGGCGCACGGGUGAGUAACACGUGAAUGACAUGCCCUUCAGAGGGGGAUAGCCCAGGGAAACUUGGAUUAAUACCCCAUGGUCUCGCAAGAGUAAAGGUGGCCGCAAGGCUGUCGCUGGAGGAUUGGUUCGCGUUCUGUCAGCUUGUUGGCGGGGUAACGGCCCACCAAGGCUACGACGGAUACCUGGUCUGAGAGGACGAGCAGGCACACUGGAACUGAGACACGGUCCAGACACCUACGGGUGGCAGCAGUCGAGAAUAAGUCACAAUGGGGGCAACCCUGAUGGUGCAACGCCGCGUGGAGGAUGAAGGUCUUCGGAUUGUAAACUCCUGUCAUCCGGGAGCAAGACCUGACGGUGAAUAGCCGGCAGGGUUGAUAGUACCGGAAGAGGAAGGGACGGCUAACUUCGUGCCAGCAGCCGCAGUAAGAC
rnacentral:rRNA from 1 species